rnacentral:rRNA from 1 species
AACGAACGCUGGCGGCGCGCUUAACACAUGCAAGUCGAACGAGAAGGCGUAGCAAUACGCUUGUAGAGUGGCGAACGGGUGAGGAAUACAUGGGUAACCUACCCUCGAGAGGGGAAUAACCAGCCGAAAGGUUGGCUAAUGCCGCGUACGCUUCCCAGUCGGCGGAUUGGGAAGGAAAGCUCUGCCGUGGGCAGGGCGCUCAAGGAUGGGCUCAUGUCCUAUCAGCUUGUUGGUGAGGUAACGGCUCACCAAGGCUUCGACGGGUAGCUGGUCUGAGAGGACGAUCAGCCACACUGGCACUGCGACACGGGCCAGACUCCUACGGGAGGCAGCAGUGAGGAAUAUUGCGCAAUGGGCGAAAGCCUGACGCAGCGACGCCGCGUGGGGGAUGAAGGUCUUCGGAUUGUAAACCCCUUUCGGGAGGGAAGAUGGGACGAGCAAUCGUCCGGACGGUACCUCCAGAAGCAGCCACGGCUAACUUCGUGCCAGCCGCCGCAGUAAUAC